UGCUUCCAAACCAUGUGACUUGGACUCGUUUGAAAAAGAUUAUAUUUCAUUCCCCCUCCCCCAUUCCCGUGUUUUGUCCCUAAGCAUCCUUUCCCCACUUCCCUAGGGCACUCGCCUUUCCGGAAAUGCCCUCGCCCAGCGGGCAGCCUCCACAUCCCGAGGAGGUCUCAGCCUCACCCUCCCAGCUGCCACGCCCUGACCUGGUCCUCACCAGCUUCUGCCCACCCAGAGCCUUUCUGGGGCACAAUGUCAAGCUCUUCAUGGAGUGGAGGAUGUAGGCAUGGAUCAGAGAAUCGCCAAAGUGUGAUCCAGCCAUGAUAAAGAGGUGCCUGAUGCUCUCAAAAUUGAAGAUGGUGAUCUGACCUGCUGUGAAGCAGUCAGGGAGGAUACAGCUGUUUCAGCACCUACUCUGUGCCCAGCUCAGAGGAUGGAAAGGUGAGCAACCCCCAGCGUGGUCCGCAGCCAUGGUCUCACGGAGAAGCGAGACUCCUCAGUGGGCAGGUUCACAGAAAACCAGACAGAACAAAAUGGGCAAAGAGGACCGUCCUCACAGAGGCCUCUCUUCGGCAGGAAGGCAGACGGUCAGAUACGCCAAGCCCACAGUUGCUAUCCCUGGCUGGGUGAUGAUCAAGAGACCAGGCAGUAACCAGGCGAUGUAGGUAAGGGUCCCAGGAGAGAUGCGCCUGGUGAGCUCGCAGAGGCAGCCCCUAACCCAUCUAGACUGGAGUUGGGGGCAGGGACAAGUUGCCCAAGAGAUCCAGCCCCUGCUGGGUCAAAGCCUGUGAGCGGGAGAUGGCUGGGUGAAGGAGGCAGAGGUCAAAUAGAGGGAAGCACAGAGGAGGAGCUGGAGGGGACAGUUGAGACCCUGGGCAGAGGGCCUUACACACGGGCCACAGAGUCUGGACUUUGUCCCCGCAGGCAGUGGGGAGCCAUGGAAAGCUUCCAGCCGGGAAACAGCCCGGCCAGAUUCCGGUGCCAUAGCUAGUGACACGUCUGUACCAAAGCAUAGGCCCUGAGGGUCUCUCAGCCCCUCCUAGGGCUGGGGGCCUUGCACGUGGUUUGUCCCUGGGUACUGCCUCUUCUUUCUGCAGCAGCAGUCCUCGGACGUGUCUGCGAAGGGGAGAGGUGCACCCCCGCCCCAGUCUCCAGAGAGAAGCCUGUGUCCACUCUAGAAAUGAAGCAAACAACAGCCACUGUUAAGGCAGGCAGCCCUAUGUGCCCAGAAGAUGCCCAUUUUCCACUCACCAGGCUGCCCAGACAGCUCAGAGGGUGAGAGGUCUUCUACAACAUAGCUCCCUGUGCCCCCCCAGCUCCCCCUACUAGAGGGUCGGUGCCUCUCUGCACAGAUGGUAACUGGAUGGCUGCAUCGUGCCGGGUGGAAACGCAUUUACAGUAUGGGACGCUGGUGCUCUGACACAAGCAGGGGUCUAGGGUAGAGAGCCCGAGGGCAGCCGGAAGGGGACCCCGGGGCGGCUGAGGGGAGGGGAGCAGCAUGAGGACUCCCCAGAGAG
rnacentral:lncRNA from 1 species